UAAGCAUAUCAAUAAGCGGAGGAAAAGAAACCAACAGGGAUUGCCCUAGUAACGGCGAGUGAAGCGGCAACAGCUCAAAUUUGAAAUCUGGCUCCUUUGGGGUCCGAGUUGUAAUUUGUAGAGGGUGCUUUGGCGUUGGUUGUGGUCUAAGUUCCUUGGAACAGGACGUCACAGAGGGUGAGAAUCCCGUACGUGGCCGCCAGCCUUCGCCGUGUAAAGCCCCUUCGAUGAGUCGAGUUGUUUGGGAAUGCAGCUCUAAAUGGGAGGUAAAUUUCUUCUAAAGCUAAAUAUUUGCCAGAGACCGAUAGCGCACAAGUAGAGUGAUCGAAAGAUGAAAAGCACUUUGGAAAGAGAGUCAAAAAGCACGUGAAAUUGUUGAAAGGGAAGCGCUUGCAGCUAGACGUGCCUUGGGUUGAUCAGCCGGACUUUUGUCCGGUGCACUCUUCCUUUGGCAGGCCAGCAUCAGUUUGGGCGGCUGGAUAAAGGUCUGUUAAACGUGACUUCCUUCGGGGAGAGCUUAUAGGGCAGACGACAUGCAGCCAGCCUGAACUGAGGUCCGCGCAUCUGCUAGGAUGCUGGCAUAAUAGCUGUAAGCGGCCCGUCUUGAAACACGGACCAAGGAGUCUAACAUCUAUGCGAGUGUUUGGGUGUCAAGCCCGAGCGCGUAAUGAAAGUAAACGGAGGUGGGAACCUUUUAGGUGCACCAUCGACCGAUCCUGAUGUCUUCGGAUGGAUUUGAGUAAGAGCAUAGCUGUUGGGACCCGAAAGAUGGUGAACUAUGCCUGAAUAGGGUGAAGCCAGAGGAAACUCUGGUGGAGGCUCGCAGCGGUUCUGACGUGCAAAUCGAUCGUCAAAUUUGGGCAUAGGGGCGAAAGACUAAUCGAACUAUCUAGUAGCUGGUUCCUGCCGAGUUCC
rnacentral:rRNA from 1 species